CGGUUACAAUCAAAGAUCCAAUUCCAGUUCCAACUCGCAAAAAAAACAUUUUACGAAUUCGGAAAUAAAAGUGGCAAACUAUUAGCCAGAGCACUGAGAGCGCGCAGGCAAAAAUGCCACGUCCAAAAGAUCACAGCAGCAGGGACACACAUGCUCACACCCAAAGCCAUAGCAGACGGCUUCCGACAAUACUACUCCUCCCUAUAUUGCUUACCUCUACACACUUCGCGAACAAACUCCACAGAAGCAACCUUCAUAGCUCGUCAGAAAGAAUAUAUAGCGCAGAACCUGACUUCCAAGCUCCCGCCCCGGGCCGUAACCGUACUGGAGGAAGACAUCACUGCCGAAGAAAUACAUCUAGCAAUCAAACUGGCCAAACAGGGGAAAAGCCCAGGACCAGACGGGUACACGGCAAAAUACUACAAGACGUUCGCAGACGCUCUCACCCCACACCUGCUUACCCUGUUUAACGCCAUCCAUAAGGGGAACCCACUGGAUCCCAACACGCUCCUGGCCCAUAUCGUGGUGAUACCGAAGGAAGGAAAAGACCCGUCCUCAUGCACCAGCUACCGACCAAUAUCCCUGCUGAACACUGACCUCAAGCUGCUCGCCAAGGUACUGGCACUCCGCCUCCAACCCUUACUACCGGACCUCAUCCACCCUGACCAAGUGGGAUUUGUGGAGGGAAGAGAGGCCAGGGACAACACCGUCAAGGCACUCAACCUAAUACACGCAGCUGGACGAGGACACAAGCGCGCCCUAUUGGUCUCGACAGACGCCGAAAAGGCGUUUGACAGGGUGGACUGGUCCUUCUUAUUCUCCACCCUAGAGCACCUUGGGAUGGGACCGCACAUGCUGGCCCGGAUAUCAGCCCUAUACACCAACCCAGCUGCCCGAGUACAAGUAAACGGAAUUCUCUCGGAUCCUUUUGAAAUAAGAAACGGCACGAGGCAGGGCUGCCCACUAUCGCCCCUGCUAUUUGUCCUCAGCUUGGAGCCGUUCCUAAAUGCCAUCAGAACCCAACCCAACAUCGCAGGGAUCGGAGGCGGGUGGGGAGUCAGCAAGGUUGCGGCAUACGCGGACGACCUCCUGUUUACCAUCACCGACCCAGCAUCCUCCCUCAGAGAAUUAAUGCAUCAAUUUGACACUUAUGGCAUACUGUCAAACCUAAAAAUCAACUUCACCAAAUCAGAAAUCCUCAAUGUGGGCUGCCCCCAACCACUGGUAAACAUACUACAAAAUGACUUCCCUUUCCACUGGUGCACAGAAGCAAUCAAAUACUUAGGUAUCUGGCUGUCGGCAGACCUCACAGCCAGUUUCCGAAUCAACUUCCCACCCCUUCUUGACCAGAUUAAAAAAGACCUGAACGCAUGGCAGCUGCCACACAUCACAUGGCUGGGGAGGAUCAGCGUACUCAAGAUGAACAUACUCCCACGACUCCUGUACCUCUUGCAAACCCUACCCAUACACAUCCCCACCACCUUCUUCACCCAAGCCCGACAGAUAAUGACAGAGUACGUGUGGCAUCGCCAGAGGGCGAGAUUGAACUUCGCCACUCUCACGAGACCCAAACACCACGGGGGACUGGGCCUACCCGAUCUGACCAAAUAUCGGCGAGCCGUCCAUCUCCAGCGUCUGAUUGAAUGGACACACAACCCGGAAAACAAACUUUGGAUCCCGAUUGAGGCAAGCUUCUCACAGACCCCCCUAUCUCUUCUCCCUUGGCUACCAAAAGCUAUGACCAACGAACUACCACGACAACACCCAACCAUAAACGCUACUCUGGCGGUCUGGAGAGGCUUAGCGCGACACAGGGACAUGGCCCCGGAGCUAUCUCCCCUCUGCCCUAUCUCCCAUAACCCCAAAUUCCCCCCGGCGAUGGAACCUCGCUACGUCACAACCCUAGGGCUGCCAUAUCCAUGCAGACUAAAGGACAUAUACAAACAAGGCACGAUUACCCCUCUGAGAGACCUGGUCCCAGAUACCACGCACAACUGGCCACUCCGCUUCAGAUACCACCAGCUUACGAAAUUCCUGACGCACAUGCCCGAACUGAAAUCGGCAACACGAACACUCUCCACCUUCGAAACCCUUUGCACAAGCCCCUCGAUCCCACCACACGCAAUCUCACUCCUAUACACACUACUAAUCACACCUCCCACCGAUGCUCCCCUCCCU
rnacentral:lncRNA from 1 species